CUCAGCUGCAAAGGCCAGCGAUGUGAGUUAGCUGCUGAGCAGAACGGACUGCACUGGGGCCAGAGCAUGUGCGGUCGCUUUCUCUACUUCCUGCUCCGAGAUGAUGUGCUUUUAUCAAAUGGAAAUGCUUUUGGACAACUAAGCCCCACGUCCUUUCCCAUCCCACAAAUAACAUCUAUAUAAGGCAGGCUCCAGGACAAAAAAUUUAGGGUGCACUGUAUAACAUGGGUUUAAUGAAGGGGCCAAUAGGAGUGUGGAGAAUUCCAGCACAACACGGUACCUGCACCAGGACAAUGAAGGUACAAGUAUAAAGUGAUAUAUGGAGAUGACCAAGUAUCAGAAGUGUGAAAUGCAGAGAUGGCCUAGAGUGCUAGAUCAAAGGACCCAUUGCAGAAGAUUCUAUCUACAGAGCCUUUGUGUAUUGGCAAAUACAGCUAUGAAGAAUGAGAAAGUUAAAUCAAGCAGCACCUGUCUUCCAUUUAUUGAAACCAAUCUUGCACAGUACCUUUAUUCAACAAUCAGGGAAGAAUAGAGCUAGGCUGGAAAACUAAAUUGAAUGCUGGGAGAAAGAAGGCUGAAUCAGAGAGAUAUCAUGUAUCUGCCAAAGAAGACAGAUGCUCACUGAAACCUUACAGAAGAUGAGAACCUGUGUAUUCCUUCCAAGCUAAUGUGGUUUGAUGGAACAAGUCCCCCUGAAAAGUCUCUGCAAACCCUCAAAAUACAUUGCCCAACAAAAAGCAAGAAGAAGUUUAGAGAUAACUACACUGAAAUUCCCAAAGAUUGUUUAUAAAUGUUUGUUUUCAUUUAAAUGAAGAUAUGAUAUAGAUAUGAACAUUUUGCAUUGGUAUGGAUCUUGGUCUAUUGAUACAAAUGUAAGGUCAAUUCUGUUAUAUGUAUUUCUACACUUGAAUAAGGUAUUGUGUUUUGAAGCUCAUCUAAAAAUGUAAUAUAUAGUUAAAAAUACAGAUUAAUAGAUAAUCACUCACAAUAGUCAAACUUGUAGUUAGGUUUUCUAAAUAUACAGAGACAAAUUUCAGUUAGAUAGAUAUUCUUCAAAUCUUUCAGAGACCUUCAGAAUAUAUCACUCAAAUGUUUUAAGAACUUAUAGGACUUUUCAUGACAAUGAGAUACAUCUGCUCCUGGUAGCAUCAAUCUACUUCAAGAGGAUGAUGGGCAUUGAAGAGGCUCAUUAUGAAGUUGGUUAGCCAUUUGGUAAGAAACUGUUCUUGCAUGCUCUGCUUGAUGGUAUGCUUAUGAACUGUACAUGUAGGAACCACAGAAAAAUGACCGUUGAUGUUGCCUCAAGAAGAUGAGACAGUCCUUCAGGGUUCCUGCUUCAUGAAAAAGUCUGCCAGACAUUCUGCAGGACACAGAAGUGCUGACAAACUGCCAAAAUAGGCAGAACUGUUUUUGAAAUUUACUCCUUCGUGGAAAAGUCUGCCAGACACUAUGUGCCUAUAGGCAGAAGAUGGAUACCCCAAUGCUACAGAAGAAUUUGAGUGACUGUUCAGGCAACAAGAUGUGUCUGUCAAUUCUAGAGUUUUGGAAGUUGCUAAAAAUGCACUUCCUA